rnacentral:rRNA from 1 species
CUACGGGGUGCUGCAGUGAGGAAUAUUGCGCAAUGAGCGAAAGCUAGACGCAGCAACGCCGCGUGAGCGAAGAAGGCCUUCGGGUUGUAAAGCUCUUUUCUGUGUGAAGAGAAGGACGGUAGCACAGGAAUAAGUGUCGGCUAACUACGUGCCAGCAGCCGCGGUAAAACGUAGGACGCAAGCGUUAUCCGGAUUUACUGGGCGUAAAGCGCGUGCAGGCGGUCAGUUAAGUUAUGCGUGAAAGCUCCCGGCUCAACCGGGGGAGGUCGUAUACAACUGAUUGACUUGAAGGCAGCAGAGGCGUGUGGAAUUCCAGGUGUAGUGGUGAAAUGCGUAGAUAUCUGGAGGAACACCAGUGGUGAAGGCGACACGCUGGGCUGUAUUUUAUGCUAAGACGCGAAAGCGUGGGUAGCGAACGGGAUUAGAUACCCUAGUAGUC